GGCGUAUUGGCAGAAUGGUAUCAUGCAUCGGAUUGCAAAUCCGAACAACUCGGUUCGAUUCCGGGAUACGCCU
rnacentral:tRNA from 2 species